AUUGAACGCUGGCGGCAUGCCUUACACAUGCAAGUCGAACGGCAGCACGGGAGCAAUCCUGGUGGCGAGUGGCGAACGGGUGAGUAAUAUAUCGGAACGUGCCCAGUCGUGGGGAUAACGUAGCGAAAGCUACGCUAAUACCGCAUACGAUCUAUGGAUGAAAGCGGGGGAUCGCAAGACCUCGCGCGAUUGGAGCGGCCGAUAUCAGAUUAGGUAGUUGGUGAGGUAAAGGCUCACCAAGCCGACGAUCUGUAGCUGGUCUGAGAGGACGACCAGCCACACUGGGACUGAGACACGGCCCAGACUCCUACGGGAGGCAGCAGUGGGGAAUUUUGGGACAAUGGGCGGCAAGCCUGAUCCAGCAAUGCCGCGUGCAGGAUGAAGGCC
rnacentral:rRNA from 1 species